UUACAGGUAAAAACAGGUAAUGCGCAUGCGCGCAGCAGGUGUAAUAUCCGCACUAAGGUGUAAUAAGGUGUUUGUUGUCUGCAAGAUGUCACACCCAAGAGACUGGAAUCUAGACUGCAAAGUCUAUGUGGGAGAACUUGGGCAUGGUUGCCCGAAGCAUGAACUUGAGGAAAAAUUUUCAAAAUAUGGUACACUAAAGAAUGUGUGGGUAGCCCGGAGACCAGCUGGAUUUGCUUUUGUUGAGUUUGAUGAUCCUCGUGAUGCAGAAGAUGCUGUUCGAGCUCUGGAUGGAACGCGAAUCAAUGGCCGCAGAGUUCGAGUUGAAAUGUCUACUGGAAGGUCACGCAGAGGUAGAGGAUUUGGAGGUCCUCCACCAAGGGGACGACCUGUGUAUGAUGAAUAUCGGUUCUCACGCAGGCACAAGCUCAUCUUUAUCUGCGCUCAUCUGGGCAUCUGAAAUCAACUGCCUAAUCUUCUCCCAGUCAGCCAUAGUCUGCUGAGCAAACCUCAGCAUCUGCUUCCAUAGCACCGUUUCAACACGUGCACCGGCACACCAUGCAUCCACCCUGCCCGUCUGUCUGCCCUUCUUUUCAGCGAGAAGCCUCAGCUUGGCCACAUCUGCCCUUCACUGUCAGCGCGGACUCCCCUUAAUAGUCACCUUCACCACGUAGGCCACGCAGCAGAAGUCGAUCCUUUUCUCCUGUUCGUGGUAAACGGAGUAGUCGCAGUGGCAGUCGAGACCAUGUCCGCCAGCACAGUGCAAGCCGAAGUCCCACUCGCAGCCGG
rnacentral:misc_RNA from 1 species